GGUGCCCCGGCCGCAAAUCCGGGGUUAAAAGGGAACGUCUCGUAUUCCGCGCGGAAUGCGAAGCGGCUGCCCCCGCAACUGUAAGCGGCGAGCCUCUUUCCGAUUGCCACUGGCGUCAGCCGGGAAGGCGGAAAGAGGCGAUGACCCGAAGCCAGGAAACCUGCCACGAGCUG
rnacentral:ncRNA from 1 species